ACUGGGGAUGCAUCCAGAGUUGUGGAGACAGAGUUGGAAACCCUCACCAACUGGCCUCUUCACCUUCCGCCUUAUCCCGCUGCCACGAGCUGCCCUGUCUCACUGCAGACCCAGGACCAGCUCGGGCUCCAUGCAUUCUGCCUUGCCAGCCAGCCGAGGAUCCAGGACCAGCUUGGGGUCUGUGCGUCCUGCCCUGCCAGCUGUCGAGGAUCCAGGACCAGCUCAGACUCCGCGUGCCAGCGGAGGAUGUCAUUGUUGCUGCCGUCAUCCCACCACCUCAGGGACCAGAGGGCUAGGUUGGCAUUGCGGCCCUCACCAGGUCCUGGGCUUGGACUCAGCUCCUGGACCUUUCCGGCCUGUAUCAGGCUGUGGCCACAUGAGGGAGAGGACAGCGUGAGCUCAUGAGAGACUCAGUGACAAUGUAUGCCUUUCCCUCAGAAUUCAAGGAAGAGACUGUUGCCUGCCCCCAGCAUUGUAGCCUGAGAAUCCUGUGCCGUUCCUACCACAUCCACCCUCGCUCCAUGGUGGAACUCAAAACACGAGAAACUAACUGUAUCCUGUCCUCUCCCCAGGCCUCAGUUCACCCCUCAUCCCUCACUUGCCUCUUCUCUAAGGGAUAUCAACACUGCCCAGCGCAGGGGUCCUGAAUUUAUGUGGAUUUUAUAUGUAUUUUUAAUACAAUGCACUUUAUGUCAUUUUUUAAUAAAGUCUGCAGAAUUACUGUU